rnacentral:rRNA from 1 species
UAAUUUUAAUUGUUUAUUAAAAUAAAUUAAUUUAAUUAAAAUAAAUUAUUAUAUUUAUAUAGUAUUAGUGGUAUAGAGGUAAUUAUUAAUUAAAGUACUGUAAAGGUAAAUUUACAUAUAGUUGUUUAAUAGUAGAGGUUUAUAUUCGUACCUUUUGUAUAAUGAAUUAAUGAUAGAUUCAAUUUAAUUAAAGAGUCUCGAAUAUAAAAAGAUUUACUUAAUAUUUAGUGUUAACGUAGUAAAGUUAUAUUUUUAAUAUUAAGUGGUAAUGAAAUGUUUUUCGUUUUUUAUGAUAGCUAGUUUAUGGGUGUGGAAUAUUUUAGUAUUGUGAUAUUAAUAUAGUUUAAAUUAUUUUAAUAUUAUUUAUUUUAUAAGGGAUAAGCUUUAUAAAAGGAAAUAGAAUAUUUAUAUAUUAUUUUGUGUUUUUAAGUAGAAUUAAAAUUGUUUUUCUUAUAAAUAUAGUAUAAAUUGUUUACAUAUGUAUUAUUCAGAUUGAUAAACUUAUAAAUGUUUAAUAAUUAAUAAUAAAUAAAUAUAAUGUUAGUAUGAGUAUUAAAAAGUAAUUAAAUAUUAUAAUUUAUUUGAGUUGUAUAUUUUUAUAAUAUUAUUUUUAGUGAAGUAAAAUAAAGGAAUUUGGCAAAUAUAAAUCUCGCCUGUUUAUCAAAAACAUGUCUCUUUGUAUUUAAUAAAUAAAGAGUUGGGCCUGCUCAGUGAUAUAGAUUUAACAGCUGCGGUAUUUUAACUGUACUAAGGUAGCAUAAUAAUUUGCCUUAUAAAUUGAGGCUAGAAUGAAUGGUUUGACGAAGGUUUAUCUGUCUCUAUUUUAUUUAAUAGAAGUUAAUUUUUUAGUGAAAAAGCUAAAAUAUUUUAAAGGGACGAGAAGACCCUAUUGAGCUUAAAUUUAAUAAUAUUGUGUUUACAGUAUUUUAGUAAAUUUUAAUUGGGGUGAUUAAGGAAUAAAAAUAUAUUAAAUAGUAACUUCCUUAAUUGUGUAAUACUGUUAGGUUAAGUAACCAAUAAUAUUGCUUAUAAUAAAGUUACCAUAGGGAUAACAGCGUAAUUUAUUUAGAGAGUUCUUAUUGAAAAAUAAGAUUGCGACCUCGAUGUUGGAUUAAAGUAACCUUAAGGUGCAGAAGCUUUAUAUGGUAAAUCUGUUCGAUUUUUAAAACUUUACAUGAUCUGAGUUCAGACCGGUGUGAGCCAGGUCGGUUUCUAUCUUUUGAAAUAGAAGAUUUUUUUUUUAGUACGAAAGGACCAAAAAAAUUAAUAGGAUUAAUUU